rnacentral:rRNA from 1 species
GACGAACGCUGGCGGCGUGCUUAACACAUGCAAGUCGAACGGAAAGGCCCUGCUUGCCGGGUACUCGAGUGGCGAACGGGUGAGUAACACGUGGGUGAUCUGCCCUGCACUUCGGGAUAAGCCUGGGAAACUGGGUCUAAUACCGGAUAGGAGCCAUUUUUAGUGUGAUGGUUGGAAAGUUUUUUCGGUGUAGGAUGAGCUCGCGGCCUAUCAGCUUGUUGGUGGGGUAAUGGCCUACCAAGGCGGCGUCGGGUAGCCGGCCUGAGAGGGUGGACGGCCACAUUGGGACUGAGAUACGGCCCAGACUCCUACGGGAGGCAGCAGUGGGGAAUAUUGCACAAUGGGCGCAAGCCUGAUGCAGCGACGCCGCGUGGGGGAUGACGGCCUUCGGGUUGUAAACUCCUUUCGCUAGGGACGAAGCUUUUUGUGACGGUACCUAGAUAAGAAGCACCGGCUAACUACGUG